CAACCUGCCCCUGACUCUGGGAUAAGCGCUGGAAACGGUGUCUAAUACUGGAUAUGAGACGGAACCGCAUGGUUAUCGUUUGGAAAGAUUUUUCGGUUGGGGAUGGGCUCGCGGCCUAUCAGCUUGUUGGUGAGGUAAUGGCUCACCAAGGCGUCGACGGGUAGCCGGCCUGAGAGGGUGACCGGCCACACUGGGACUGAGACACGGCCCAGACUCCUACGGGAGGCAGCAGUGGGGAAUAUUGCACAAUGGGCGAAAGCCUGAUGCAGCAACGCCGCGUGAGGGAUGACGGCCUUCGGGUUGUAAACCUCUUUUAGUAGGGAAGAAGCGAAAGUGACGGUACCUGCAGAAAAAGCACCGGCUAACUACGUGCCAGCAGCCGCGGUAAUACGUAGGGUGCAAGCGUUAUCCGGAAUUAUUGGGCGUAAAGAGCUCGUAGGCGGUUUGUCGCGUCUGCUGUGAAAUUCCGAGGCUCAACCUCGGGCUUGCAGUGGGUACGGGCAGACUAGAGUGCGGUAGGGGAGAUUGGAAUUCCUGGUGUAGCGGUGGAAUGCGCAGAUAUCAGGAGGAACACCGAUGGCGAAGGCAGAUCUCUGGGCCGUACUGACGUGAGGAGCGAAAGGGGGAGAACAGCCUCUUUUUUGCUCUCUAAAUCUACUGAAAUCUGACCUCACAUCGUACU
rnacentral:rRNA from 1 species